GAUUUCUGAUUGACCACCCUGGCCCGCGGCUAUCCGGUCGUGAGUGCUGGUGUGAGUCUGUCAUCCUUCUAGAGAGCCAUGCCUGCUGUUCACUCAGCUGGGCGUGUGCGAUCUAGAUCAUUUACUUUGAAAAAAUUAGAGUGUUUAAAGCAGGCUUAUGCUGUGAAUACAUUAGCAUGGAAUAAUAAUAUAGGACUUUUGUUCUGUUGGUUCAUAGAAUGAAAGUAAUGAUUGAUAGGGAUAGUUGGCCAGAGGUGAAAUUCUUGGAUUCGCUGAAGACUAGCUACUGCGAAAGCAUU
rnacentral:rRNA from 1 species